rnacentral:rRNA from 1 species
AGCGUAGACGGCAGGGCAAGCCAGAUGUGAAAGCCCGGGGCUCAACCCCGGGACUGCAUUUGGAACUGCUGAGCCAGAGUAUGUGAGAGGAAAGUAGAAUUCCAGGUGUAGCGGUGAAAUGCGUAGAGAUCUGGAGGAAUACCGAUGGCGAAGGCAGCUUUCUGGCAUAAUACUGACACUGAGACUCGAAAGCGUGGGGAGCAAACA